rnacentral:miRNA from 1 species
CGAGGAACGCUCGCUUCACGGC